rnacentral:rRNA from 1 species
GAGGAAUAUUGGUCAAUGGACGAGAGUCUGAACCAGCCAAGUAGCGUGAAGGAUGACUGCCCUAUGGGUUGUAAACUUCUUUUAUACGGGAAUAAAGUGAGGCACGUGUGCCUUUUUGUAUGUACCGUAUGAAUAAGGAUCGGCUAACUCCGUGCCAGCAGCCGCGGUAAUACGGAGGAUCCGAGCGUUAUCCGGAUUUAUUGGGUUUAAAGGGAGCGUAGGCGGACGCUUAAGUCAGUUGUGAAAGUUUGCGGCUCAACCGUAAAAUUGCAGUUGAUACUGGGUGUCUUGAGUACAGUAGAGGCAGGCGGAAUUCGUGGUGUAGCGGUGAAAUGCUUAGAUAUCACGAAGAACUCCGAUUGCGAAGGCAGCUUGCUGGACUGUAACUGACGCUGAUGCUCGAAAGUGUGGGUAUCAAACAGGAUUAGAUACCCUGGUAGUCCACACAGUAAACGAUGAAUACUCGCUGUUUGCGAUAUACAGUAAGCGGCCAAGCGAAAGCGUUAAGUAUUCCACCUGGGGAGUACGCCGGCAACGGUGAAACUCAAAGGAAUUGACGGGGGCCCGCACAAGCGGAGGAACAUGUGGUUUAAUUCGAUGAUACGCGAGGAACCUUACCCGGGCUUGAAUUGCAACUGAAUGAUGUGGAGACAUGUCAGCCGCAAGGCAGUUGUGAAGGUGCUGCAUGGUUGUCGUCAGCUCGUGCCGUGAGGUGUCGGCUUAAGUGCCAUAACGAGCGCAACCCUUAUCGAUAGUUACCAUCAGGUUAUGCUGGGGACUCUGUCGAGACUGCCGUCGUAAGAUGUGAGGAAGGUGGGGAUGACGUCAAAUCAGCACGGCCCUUACGUCCGGGGCUACACACGUGUUACAAUGGGGGGUACAGAAGGCAGCUACACGGCGACGUGAUGCUAAUCCCGAAAGCCUCUCUCAGUUCGGAUCGGAGUCUGCAACCCGACUCCAUGAAGCUGGAUUCGCUAGUAAUCGCGCAUCAGCCACGGCGCGGUGAAUACGUUCCCG